AAAGAAGAUAAAGUGGAUGUCCUUUGGCAUAACUUCUUCAAAUCUUCGACUUCCUGAUUUGAAUCCUUCCAACUCGAGACCUGUAUGUCGACUUUAAGGUUGUGAGAGUUGAUGAAGGAAUUUGAGCCUUGGCAGCUCAUUCCGAAUUGCGAAAGAGGGAAAGUGGGAGUUCAAUGGCGAACUCGAUGCAAAUUUUACAUGCAAAACAGAGAGAAGAACAUAAG
rnacentral:misc_RNA from 1 species